rnacentral:rRNA from 1 species
GACGAACGCUGGCGGCGUGCUUAACACAUGCAAGUCGAACGGAAAGGCCCUGCUUUUGUGGGGUGCUCGAGUGGCGAACGGGUGAGUAACACGUGAGUAACCUGCCCUUGACUUUGGGAUAACUUCAGGAAACUGGGGCUAAUACCGGAUAGGAGCUCCUGCUGCAUGGUGGGGGUUGGAAAGUUUCGGCGGUUGGGGAUGGACUCGCGGCUUAUCAGCUUGUUGGUGGGGUAGUGGCUUACCAAGGCUUUGACGGGUAGCCGGCCUGAGAGGGUGACCGGCCACAUUGGGACUGAGAUACGGCCCAGACUCCUACGGGAGGCAGCAGUGGGGAAUAUUGCACAAUGGGCGGAGGCCGGAGGCAGCAACGCCGCGUGCGGGAUGACGGCCUUCGGGUUGUAAACCGCUUUCGCCUGUGACGAAGCGUGAGUGACGGUAAUGGGUAAAGAAGCACCGGCUAACUACGU